UACGUUCUCGGGCCUUGUACACACCGCCCGUCACGCCAUGAAAGUCGUCUGUACCCGAAAUUGUUUUAGCCAACCUGUAAGGGGGCGAAUACUUAAGGUAUGGGGGUAAUUGGGGCG
rnacentral:rRNA from 1 species